UACGUAGGGGGCGAGCGUUGUCCGGAAUUAUUGGGCGUAAAGGGCGCGUAGACGGCUAAGUAAGUUAUAGGUGAAAGCCCAUCUUUCAAGGAUGGAAUUGCCUGUAAUACUGCAUAGCUUGAGUGCAGGAGAGGGAAGCGGAAUUCCUAGUGUAGCGGUGAAAUGCGUAGAUAUUAGGAGGAACACCAGUGGCGAAGGCGGCUUUCUGGACUGUAACUGACGUUGAGGCGCGAAAGCGUGGGGAGCAAACA
rnacentral:rRNA from 1 species